ACGCUGGCGGCGUGCUUCAUACAUGCAAGUCGAACGAUAAGGUCUCUUCGGAGACACAUAAGUGGCGGACGGGUGAGUAAAAUGUAGAGAAUCUGCCCUAGAGUGGGGGACAACAGUUGGAAACGACUGCUAAUACCGGCAUAGUGAGCGUACCUGCAAUGGUAUUCUUGAAAACUCCGGUGCUCUGGGAUGAGUCUGCAUCUGAUUAGCUAGUUGGCGGUGUAAUGGACCACCAAGGCGACGAUCAGUAGCUGGUUUGAGAGGAUGAUCAGCCACAAUGGGACUGAGACACGGCCCAUACUCCUACGGGAGGCAGCAGUAGGGAAUUUUUGCGCAAUGGGCGAAAGCCUGACGCAGCAACGCCGCGUGAUUGAAUAAGCCCUUCGGGGUGUAAAGAUCUGUCAGUAGGGACGAAACUUGACGGUACCUACAGAGGAAGCAUCGGCUAACUCCGUGCCAGCCGCGGC
rnacentral:rRNA from 1 species